rnacentral:lncRNA from 1 species
ACAGAAGCGGAACGCGCGUCGAGAGCGCCCUGUCCGCUCGCCCCAGACAGAUGCCCGGUUAUUCAUUACCGCGAGGCCUAGAGGAAAGAGUGGCUGCCGUCUUCCUGCCCACAGCCCGCCGGACCCUCCGUCGCGGCUGCCCGGUCCCCGGAGCCGCAGCCGCCGAGCCCGGCUGUGCGUGUCGUGGCUGCUGGGGAGAAAGAGGCUUCCGGACAUGCUCUGGAGUCAGAAGACAGCGAAAAGAGAAGCAGAAGCCCCGGUGGCAAGAGUCUGAAGCUGGAAAGGAGGAGAACAUGAAACAUUGCUUGAAGACAAUGGCCGAGACAGCAGGUCCCACCCUGCACAGCCACCAGCAUCUCUCCCCUCAGCCCUGUCUCCUCUUCUGCAGUUGGGAUCUGCACAUUUAAGCCUGAAAUUGUCCUGUGAAGUGAAGUAUGAUCGGACAGCCUCUUUUCAGCUUUUAUGACAAUGGAGACAGAGGAAUUGUGGCUCUUGCCAAGGUCACAGGAUUGGAAUACAGAGCCAAGCCACCCCAGGACAUGCAAGAGCCUCAGAAGGGAAAAAAGCCCAGCAGGAAGGGAGAACAAGUAGCCUCUGUCCUGAAGUUGUAACAGCCAGGGGCCAGGAUGGAGGAGGAGGACCCCAUAAUCUGCCCAUCUGGGACUUGGCAGGGGACCUGGGAAAAUGUACCCCAACCCAUCCCUUAAGGGCCUUUGUCUUUGGCCCAUUGGCCUAGCAUCUACUUCUUCACCGUGUCUGUUCUUGUCACACCUAGUCAGGUCUGUUUGGGUCUGAGGUGCAUGGAACAUUCUGGGUAGGCCUCCAGCAAACGGAAGCUCUUCACCGUGUUUCCAGCCUGGGACCAAGGGCAGCAUACUGGCAAAGUUGCCAAAGCAAGGGACUCCAGCCUCUUAGGAGUUAAUGACUCCCUCUCCCCAGCUGUCCUCCCCUUGGUGCUCCUCUUCCUCCCUCCUCCUGCUCACAGCAGGCAGGGCCUAGACCCGGGAGCCAUGCUGCUGUGCUGUUGCCAGGGGAGCACGGAGGCAGAUCUGAGCUAUGCAGGGAAAAGGCCCAGCCUGUCAAAGUGUCUGAGAUGAACCGCCGCCGUCCCUGUGCAGCUGGGCUCAGACGUGUCUCAGCUCUUGUUCUGUGCCUGAGAAUGGCGAAACCCAGUGAGGUUCAAGGGCAAACUCGCUAUUCAUUAGUCAGGGGUUCUUGACGUCCCGUCUCUCCCAGGGAUGAGUUCCCCCCUCCUCUUUCUCCCCCUCCUAUGACACAUUCCUGGGUGCCUUUGGUGAGGACUGCACACCCUCCUCCUGCCUAGCCCCCUCUCCAAAGGCCCCUGAAUAAACUCCCCCCAAGGAGACCAGGCAGGGCAGAGACAAUGGCUGCAGGAAAUCAUUCAGGCGGGACAUGCUGGCCUGCCCUCCACCCAGUCCCCCUGUGGGCCCCACUCCCUUCUGAUUCAGGGCACCCUUGGGCCCCCAGCCUAUACAGGCCUGGACAGGAAGAAACCACUGGGAACCACCCUAAGGACAACAUGCUAGUCCAGUGCCAUUCUUCGCUGGCUCUGUGGGUGCCUUUGUGGCCUGUACCGACUGGCUGGCUAAUUUUGUGGUUUCUGUACCAUCACAUGCCUAUUUUAAGACACUCUCCAGCACUGUCGGUUAGGGAGUGUAAAUUUUGCAAUAUUUUCUGAAAUGUGGCAAUAUCAAAAUGUAAAAGGCACACAUACUUGGUCACAAACAAAUGGCACUAUUUACUCUGUGGGCAUAUUUGUAAAAGUUGCCAAAGAAUUAUAUACAAGGAUGUUCAUCAGAGCAUUUCUUUUGAAGAGUAAAGAAAUGGACAUG